UACGUAGGGUGCGAGCGUUGUCCGGAAUUAUUGGGCGUAAAGGGCUCGUAGGCGGUCUGUUGCGUCGGGAGUGAAAACUCAGGGCUUAACCCUGAGCCUGCUUCCGAUACGGGCAGACUAGAGGUAUGCAGGGGAGAACGGAAUUCCUGGUGUAGCGGUGAAAUGCGCAGAUAUCAGGAGGAACACCGAUGGCGAAGGCAGGUCGUCUGGGCAUUAACUGACGCUGAGGAGCGAAAGCAUGGGGAGCGAACAGG
rnacentral:rRNA from 1 species